ensembl:snRNA U6 U6 spliceosomal RNA
GUGCUUGCUUUCGCAGCACAUACACUAAAAUUGGAAUGGUACAGAGAUUAGCUUGGCCCCUGCACAGGGAUGACACGCAAAUUCGUGAAACGUUCCAUAUUUUU